rnacentral:rRNA from 1 species
UACGAAGGGGGCUAGCGUUGUUCGGAAUUACUGGGCGUAAAGGGCGCGUAGGCGGUGCAUCAAGUCAGGCGUGAAAGCCCCGGGCUCAACCUGGGAACCGCGCUUGAGACUGGUGCGCUCGAGUUCGGGAGAGGAUGGUGGAAUUCCCAGUGUAGAGGUGAAAUUCGUAGAUAUUGGGAAGAACACCGAUGGCGAAGGCAGCCAUCUGGACAGACACUGACGCUGAGGCGCGAAAGCGUGGGGAGCAAACAGG